rnacentral:rRNA from 1 species
AUUGAACGCUGGCGGAAUGCUUUACACAUGCAAGUCGAACGGUAACAGGUCUUCGGAUGCUGACGAGUGGCGAACGGGUGAGUAAUAUAUCGGAACGUGCCCAGUCGUGGGGGAUAACGUAGCGAAAGUUACGCUAAUACCGCAUACGAUCUAUGGAUGAAAGCGGGGGAUCGCAAGACCUCGCGCGAUUGGAGCGGCCGAUAUCAGAUUAGGUAGUUGGUGGGGUAAAGGCUCACCAAGCCAACGAUCUGUAGCUGGUCUGAGAGGACGACCAGCCACACUGGAACUGAGACACGGUCCAGACUCCUACGGGAGGCAGCAGUGGGGAAUUUUGGACAAUGGACGCAAGUCUGAUUCAGCCAUUCCGCGUGCAGGAUGAAGGCCCUCGGGUUGUAAACUGCUUUUGUGCGGAACGAAAAGGUCUCUCCUAAUACGAGGGGCUCAUGACGGUACCGUAAGAAUAAGCACCGGCUAACUACGUGCCAGCCGCCGCAGUAAAAC